CCUACGGGAGGCAGCAGUAAGGAAUAUUGGACAAUGGACGCAAGUCUGAUCCAGCCAUGCCGCGUGAAGGAUUAAGGCCCUCUGGGUUGUAAACUUCUUUUAUAGGGGACGAAAAAAGGGCUUUCUAGCUCGACUGACGGUACCCUAUGAAUAAGCACCGGCUAACUCCGUGCCAGCAGCCGCGGUAAUACGGAGGGUGCAAGCGUUAUCCGGAUUCACUGGGUUUAAAGGGUGCGUAGGCGGGCAUUUAAGUCAGUGGUGAAAUCUUCGAGCUCAACUCGGAAACUGCCAUUGAUACUAUUUGUCUUGAAUAUUGUGGAGGUGAGCGGAAUAUGUCAUGUAGCGGUGAAAUGCUUAGAUAUGACAUAGAACACCGAUUGCGAAGGCAGCUCGCUACACAAAUAUUGACGCUGAGGCACGAAAGCGUGGGGAUCAAACAGGAUUAGAUACCCUGGUAGUCCACGCCCUAAACUAUGGAUACUCGACAUUUGCGAUACACAGUAAGUGUCUGAGCGAAAGCAUUAAGUAUCCCACCUGGAAGUACGACCGCAAGGUUGAAACUCAAAGGAAUUGACGGCUGAGAGAGCGACGGACGACGACGAGGGGAGGAGG
rnacentral:rRNA from 1 species